UACGGAAGGGGCAAGCGUUGUUCGGAAUCAUUGGGCGUAAAGCGCGCGUAGGUGGCUUCGUAAGUCCGUUGUGAAAGUCAAAGGCUCAACCUUUGAAAGCCGAUGGAUACUGCGGAGCUAGAGUACGGAAGAGGCGAGUGGAAUUCCUGGUGUAGCGGUGGAAUGCGCAGAUAUCAGGAGGAACACCAAUAGCGAAGGCAGCUCGCUGGGACGUUACUGACACUGAGGCGCGAAAGCGUGGGGAGCGAACAGG
rnacentral:rRNA from 1 species